ensembl:lncRNA
GUAGUAGUGGUGGUAGCAGUAGUGGUAGUAGCGGUGGUAAUAGUGGUAGUAGUAGUAGCAGAAGUGGUGGUGGUGUUGGUGAUGGUAGUAGUAGUAGUAUUAGUGGCAGUGGUAGUAGUGGUAGAAGCAGUGGUAGUAGUGGUGGUGAUGGUGAUGGUAGAAGUGGUGGUAGUAGUAGUAGUAGUAGCAGUAGUGGUGGUGAUGGUAGUAGUGGUGGUAGUAGUAGUGAUAGUGGUAGUGGUGGUAGUAGUAGUAGUGGUAGUAGCGGUGGUAAUAAUGGUAGUAGCAGUAGUGGUGGUGAUGGUAGUAGUGGUGGUAGUAGUAAUGAUAGUAGUAGUGGUAGUGGUGGUAGUAGUAGUAGUGGUAGUAGCGGUGGUAAUAGUGGUAGUAGUAGUAGCAGUAGUGGUGGUGAUGGUAGUAGUGGUGGUAGUAGUAGUAGCAGUGGUGGUGGUGAUGGUAGUAGUGGUGGUAGUAGUAGUGAUAGUAGUAGUG